rnacentral:rRNA from 1 species
UGCAAGUCGAACGGGAAGAGAUGAAGAGCUUGCUCUUUAUCAAAUCCAGUGGCAAACGGGUGAGUAACACGUAAACAACCUGCCUUCAGGAUGGGGACAACAGACGGAAACGACUGCUAAUACCGAAUACGUUCCACGGGCCGCAUGACCUGUGGAAGAAAGGGUAGCCUCUACCUGUAAGCUAUCGCCUGAAGAGGGGUUUGCGUCUGAUUAGGCAGUUGGUGGGGUAACGGCCCACCAAACCAACGAUCAGUAGCCGGUCUGAGAGGAUGAACGGCCACACUGGAACUGAGACACGGUCCAGACUCCUACGGGAGGCAGCAGUGGGGAAUCUUCCGCAAUGGACGAAAGUCUGACGGAGCAACGCCGCGUGAGUGAAGACGGCCUUCGGG